AGCUGCCGAUUAACUUUUGGAGUGACCUUUCAGUCUGAUUGGUAUUUUCAUCUGUUGGUAAAAUAGCCAUACAGUAAAUACCAUUCAGAUUGCAAGGUUAUCCCUAAAAUCUUCACUUUUUGGG
rnacentral:precursor_RNA from 14 species